UGGGGAAUAUUGCACAAUGGGCGAAAGCCUGAUGCAGCAACGCCGCGUGAGUGAUGAAGGCCUUCGGGUUGUAAAGCUCUGUCUUCUGGGACGAUAAUGACGGUACCAGGGGAGGAAGCCACGGCUAACUACGUGCCAGCAGCCGCGGUAAUACGUAGGUGGCAAGCGUUGUCCGGAUUUACUGGGCGUAAAGGAUGCGUAGGCGGAUACUUAAGUCAGAUGUGAAAAUCCCGGGCUUAACUUGGGAACUGCAUUUGAAACUGGGUAUCUAGAGUGCGGGAGAGGAAAGUGGAAUUCCUAGUGUAGCGGUGAAAUGCGUAGAGAUUAGGAAGAACACCAGUGUCGAAGGCGACUUUCUGGACCGUAACUGACGCUGAGGCAUGAAAGCGUGGGGAGCAAACA
rnacentral:rRNA from 1 species